rnacentral:rRNA from 1 species
AGCAGCCGCGGUAAUUCCAGCUCCAAUAGCGUAUAUUAAAGUUGUUGCAGUUAAAAAGCUCGUAGUUGAAUUUCGGGAUCAAUACGUCGGUCGUGCUUCGGUACGUACUAACGUCAUUGAUUUCUCCCUUCUGACGAAUCGUGAUGUCAUUAAUUUGGUGUUACGGGGAGUUAGGACUGUUACUUUGAAAAAAUUAGAGUGUUUAAAGCAAGCAAUCGCUCGAAUACAUUAGCAUGGAAUAAUGAAAUAGGACGUUCGAACCUAUUUUGUUGGUUUCUAGGAUCGACGUAAUGAUUAAUAGGGAUAGUUGGGGGCAUUAGUAUUCAAUUGUCAGAGGUGAAAUUCUUGGAUUUAUUGAAGACUAACUACUGUGAAAGCAUUUGCCAAGGAUGUUUUCAUUAAUCAAGAACGAAAGUUAGGGGAUCGAAGACGAUCAGAUACCGUCGUAGU